rnacentral:rRNA from 1 species
UACGGGGGGAGCAAGCGUUGUUCGGAUUUACUGGGCGUAAAGGGCGCGUAGGCGGCCUCUGCAAGUCGACUGUGAAAUCUCCGGGCUUAACCCGGAAAGGUCAGCCGAUACUGCAGGGCUAGAGUGCAGAAGGGGCAACUGGAAUUCCCGGUGUAGCGGUGAAAUGCGCAGAUAUCGGGAGGAACACCAGUGGCGAAGGCGGCACUCUGGGCCGGAACUGACGCUGAGGAGCGAAAGCGUGGGGAGCGAACAGG